ensembl:lincRNA
GGCUCAAUCACCAGGCUGGGGUGCAGUGGUGUAAUGAUAGCUCACUGCAGCUUUGAACUUUUGAGCUCAAGUGAUCCUACCCCUGCAGCCUCCUCAGUAGCCUGGGACUACAGGCACAUGCUACCACAGUAAGUUAAUGGUUUUAUUCUUAUUUUUGCAGAGACAGAGUCUCCUAUUCUCCUCAGGCUGAUCUCAGAGUCCUGGUCUCAAGCAAUCCUCCUGCCUCAGUCUCUGGAAGUGCUGGGAUUUCAAGGCAUGAGCCACCACACCCACCCUCCAGUUAGAAUCUUUAAGAGAUAAUGAACUAUUGAGGUGUAAAUUCUCCAAAUCCCUUGGAAUUCAAAGAAAGUCCCACUUCUGGCUACAGGAUGCCCCUCUCACCUGUCACCACUGACCACAAGGAGUGUGGAUUCAGGAAGGAGCUUGCCAGAGUGACCAUGUCUGGAGAGGUUGUCUUGUGGAGCUUAUCAUUUCUCUACCCCACAUCCCAGUAUCAGAAAAAAGGAGGCACAGAGCUCUCCCCAUCUUCAUCUGGUGGCUGGGUCAGGAUGGGGGCAGCACAUUGGAGAAUAUUGCAUCCCAGGGAUGUGGUAACUUUGGGCCACUUUAUGACAGUCCAGAUGUCUCUGAUCCUGUAUUAUGGUGCCCUAGUCUGGUCAACACUUGGAGUUUCAUAACCCUCCAGAGCUUCAGUUUCUUCAUCUAUAAAAUAAUCAUGGGGCUUCCACUAGGUCUCACUAUUAAUCUGGUAAAGGCUUUUUCUUCAACCAACACCAAUAAGAAGGAUAAAAAAUAGUUUGCUUUUUUUUCAAGCUGGAGAGUGGCACACAUCCACAGUUUUAUCUAGGGUUAGGUCCCAGGAAUCACUCCUGUUCUCCGUUACAAUGAAGUCCAAAGGGCCUUGAUCAUAUUGACAUUCCAGAGAGCAUCAUUCGGGUCCUCUAUAUUGAUUGAACUUAAUAAGUAGAAAGUGACAAGUAGUUUGGAUACUGUAGUAAAAUACAUGUAUACCAAAGGGAGGGAGCUACAUCCCAAGGAGCUUCAGAUACUCUCAACGUUGGUGUAGUUUUUGGGUCCAAAAGUCUGAAUCAUGCUGAGAAAUCCCAUCCAAGGUAAAGGACAAGUUGUACUUUGCUUUUCCUACCACUAAGAACAGGCACAGCACUAAAUAGGCUUCUUUGGAUUCUGGAGGCAGCAUAUACCAUAUUGGGACUAAUUCUCCAACACAUUUAUUGAGUGACUCAGAAGGCUUCCAGGUUUGAGUGGGACCAGAGCAAGAGAAUCUGUAGCACAUUCAGGCUGUGAUGCAGUGAAAAGUGUUCUGCCAUUCAAGACAUAUGACUCGUCAGACUCAAUAGUGCUAAAGAUAGCUAUGGCAGAUACCAAUUCUAUGUGGAGUCUCUGCCAAGGUCCAACAGAAGAGUCACAGCACAGACCCAAGAGUCCUGGAGCAAGGCCAUGCCAUCUAUGGCAGAGAACUAGUUAUCAUAUGCAAAGCAGCGUCUGCUAUGUUCUGGGCCCUAGCAGAGUUUAAGUACCUGAGCUUGGGACAUAAAAUUACAGAUCAUGAGAUGGGUAUUAUCAGACUCACCAUGUCAUAAGGGCAGGCAAUCCAUUUUACAAUAGAAAUGGUACAUUUAAACUUGGAUCCAAGCAGACCCAAAAGGUACAAAUAAGUUUACAUGAAUAAAUUACACAGACCUUCAUGUUACUUACCUCUGUUGCACAAAUACCUCAACCUCAGCUCUCACUUAUGACCUCAUGGAGAUUCCCCAGCAAUCAACUAACAGAGGAGAGAAAAAAAAAACACCAGCCUGGCAUACAGAUGGAAUAUCUGAAUAAGCACAGCUAUUACAUUUCAGAAAUACUCAGAGGUUGUCCCAAAGGACAGUGCAAAAGGAAAAUCCUCCAAGUCAGCAAGACUUUCACCAGUGCAGUUGGUCAUUCGGUUUAAAUAAAGCAAGAAACAGCUUGAGGUACAGACAUACACAGAAUCUAGAGAAGUGAAAAAUGGCUUGGCUGUCUGGUAGGGAUCCUGGGAAGAGAAAGAUUGGAAGAUCGGAGAAAAGGAAGUUUGGGAAAGAGUCGUGGAAAUGGAAGCAGCACACCUGUAUCUUUGAAGAGGAGGCGCUGAACAGGUAGACAGGAUGAGUUGUCCUAUGUAUCUAAGCCAGCAUCUCCUCUCAGCCACCUCAGUACUUACUCAAUGAGCCCAUGAGUAGCCAGUGUGGUAGGGAUGGGGCUAUCAAUGAGCCCAAGAUUAUGGCAUUCCACUCAUUAAAACUCUUCUAGCCACUGUCAUUCAUGAAUAUCCUUCCUGACAGCUACAGAGACUGACACUGAGCACUUGCUAUGGCACUAUUAUCUUAAGGAAACCAGUGAGCCAAAUGGUAGUAUUCAUUAUUGAUCACAUGAUUACUAUAUUACUAGAAGGGGAGGUUUGCAUCACAAUCCUGCAAGACACAGUCUGAAACACUAUAAUUCCAUUGUUGAAAUCCUGAAAAAUCAAAAUCCCUAAAGUCUAAAAUCCCUGACCUCUAAAAUUCUGAAGAUCACAAUCACAGAAUAGUUGCAUCAUGUUAGAACUAUUACCUUGUGGUUGUCUUUAUUUGGAAAUUAACUAUGGCUUAAGAAGAUGUGUGUGUGUGCAAGUUAACAAGGAGUGGAUUUGUGGGCUUAAUUUUCGGUGUCAACUUGACUGGAUUGAGAAAUAUGUAGAAACCUGGUAAAGCAUUAUUUUUGGUGUUGCUGUUGAAUCACCAGUAUUGUUUCCACCAAAUUUGUGACCAGUAUAUGAAUGCAUGCAGAAUGGAUUUCCAAGUACCCAAAACAACACAGAAGCAUGACACAGAAUAUUGCAGAAUAUUGGAAAAUUUAAUAGGGAAUAUUCAUGCCAAUGACUCAUAGAAAAAGUUAAACAGAGCAAUGACAUGUAAAAAAUUAAUAUGAAUGUAUUCUUCAAGGAGAGCCAUAUCCAAAAAGAAAAAUAGCAGCUAUCCAUCAUGAUGCAAGAUUUUAGCUGAUGAUCGUGAAAGUUAGCUAGGUCUUAUGAAUGAUGGUAAUGCAAUUGCCCAUAAUCUAUUCCUGUAAUAUACUUUUUUAAUAUGCUAAAUUUCUUUUUCUGUUGUUUCUUUUCUUUUUUUUUUUUAGCUUUUUUUCACUACUUUAAAUUGUGAACAUUAUUUUUUUUACAAUUUUUAUGCUAUGUGUUUAAUCUUUGCAUCAUUUCCAAUACUGGAAGUAUAAAUUGUGUAGAGAUUUUUUGAGCGUUCUAAUUUGUUUUAUGCAUUUGUUGCAAACUUGACCUUAUAAAAUGCAUUAUCACAACUUUGUGUGUGAGCAUUGCGUGUAUACAUAAGAACAUUGAAACUUUCUCAAUAAUUUAAGGGACCUUCUUUUUGUACAUCCACACUUGUGAAAGAUAAAAUUUCUCAAAACCUCAGCUCAAAACCAUGUAUGGGUGACCCCAUAUACAGUGGUGAUCCAUAGUGAUUUCUGAUUGAACUUGUCAAAAAACUUAGGUUGCUCAUCACGGUACUACAGAUGACCACAGUUAUAAAGCUGAGAGCACACAAUUACCAACCAUAGUUACAUUUGUUUAUACAUAUCCCUUUUUGACUUAUUUCUUUUCUUUUCUUUUUUUUUUUUGAGAUUUUUUUCCUCUACUUUUUUGUUUAAUUGUACUUUAGGUUCUGGGGUACAUGUGCAGAUCAUGCAGGAUUGUUGCAUAGGUACAUACAUGGCAAGGUGGUUUGUUGCCUUCAUCCCCCCAUCACCUAUAUCUGGUAUUUCUCCCCUCAUUAUCCCUCCCCCCCGCACCCCUGCUGUCCCUCCCCUAGCCCCCCCACUGACCACAGUAUGUGAUGCUCCCCUCCCUGUGUCCACCUGUUCUAAUUGACCUAUUUCUUUACCAUACAGUUUGCCUACUCAUACCUAUUAUAUCUGUGUGACUGUCGUUAGUAUACCUGUUUAUGCUUGCAAAAAUAUGUAUGUUAUUAUUGCCCAUUUUAUUGUUUAAAGUGGCAUAUGAAAUGUUCUAAUGUGUCUUUAUAUGUUUCUAAAAUAAAUCCUCUUUUAAAAAUGUAAAUAAAUAUAUUUUAAAUAGUUUUAAAAAUUAUUUUUUCUAGAUCUUUUGGAAUUUCAACAUUUGGGAUUAUGGAGUUCAG